UCCAUGCAGGAAUCAUACACUGGUCUCACAAAUUAAGGUCAUUAUAAAAAUUAGGCAUGUAAAAUAAAAGUAAGAAAAAAGAAUAAAUGUUAUGUUCUGUUGAAAUUUGGGGCCGCCUAACUCAUCCUUACAAAACCGGCUUGUAAGGUGAUGAUUGUCUUCUCUUUAUAUAUGAGACUUGAGUUUUUUCCAAUACACCCCCUCACGCCCAUCACUCUUUGGGCUUGGUGCGUGAAUAGGUAGGUAACCCUUGAAUUCGACAAACUCUAAUACCAUGUCAAAAUUUGGGGUAAGAGUCUCAUCUAUCCUAUGUGGGACUUGGGUUUUUCCCAAUACACCUCCCUCACGCCCAGCACUCUUUGAGCUUGGUGCAUGAAUAGGUAGGUGACCCUUGAAUUUGACAAGCUAUUAUACCAUGUUGAAAUUUGGGGCCUAACUCAUCCUUACAAAACCAACUUGUAAGGUAAGAAUUGCCUCCUCUUUAUAAACUGUCAUCAAAAGUCUUAUUUAUCCGAUGUGAAACUUGGGUUUUUCCCAAUAUGUUUCUUGAGUUGGUAGAAUAAGAAAAUAAACACCAAUUGAACACCAAUUUCUUACGUUGUGAGAGUAUUGCACCUUCCAUUAGCCAGAACAUUUGUAGAUAUGUUAAAUUGUUAUGUUAUUCGUUCAAAUUAUGUUCCUUAAGUUGGUAGAACUCAAAUUAUGUUCAACUUAAGAGCGUACUCGUUCUUCAACAAGAUAGUAGUAAGAAUUUUUUAAGGGUGUGUAAAAGAUGAAUGUAAAGUGAGAGAAAAAAUAAUAAAUCCUUAGAUAUUGGUUCAAAUGUGCUGUUUGUAAUAUUGGUCUCGUGAAAAUUAUAAACUAUAAAAUAACUUACUUUUAAUUUGUUUUUAAUCAAAUUACAUCAUAAGUCAUUUAAGUUAUUUAAUAGUAAUCAAUUAGUUUAGAGUUUUUUUUCGUACCACUUAUAUCAUUUAAGUUAUUUUCCUUCAAACAAAAUCAUUUAAGUUAUUUAAUUGUAACAAAUUAGUUCUUUAAAUAUUUUUCGUAACGCUUAAUUCUUUUAUGUUAUUUAAUUGUAAUUUUUAAGCUCCAAAUAACUUAAAUAACCUAAUUGAUAAAAAAAUAAAAAAACUUGAAGAUUUAACUUGUUAAAAUUAACUAAUAUAAAUGACCUCCUUCAAAUAAAAACAAAGAUAAAAGAUCUAAGUGGUACGAUAAAAAUUGAAAGAACCAAUUUAUUAUAAUUAAAUAACUUAAAAAUUCUCUAGUGUAAUUUAAUCUUUUUUAGUUUUAGUAUAGUUUUGUUCCAAUCGAGUUGAUCAGAUUUUAGAUGUCUCCUUAAGAGGAGCCUUGGACUUCCACAAAUUUACAAUGUUGCUGAAGUCUAUCCCCUGCACUAGACCCAUAUUGGUUAAGAUAGCUUAUUCAUACACCUCAUACUCUUGGUUCGAUUAAGCAAAUCUUAUAAACUAAUUAAAUAAAUUGUAAGUUAUAUAAAAACUAUAAUUAUAACAAUAUUUUAAAUUUUAAGAAAUAUACUUAAAUUAAGAUAAAAUUUUAUCUACAUAAAUGUUUAGUAUCAUAGUGAGUAUGAUAGAAUCACAAUAACCCACAAGAAUUUUUUAAAAGUUAAACUUUGUAGUUUCUAUAAAAUCACAGUGGAUUAUCGUAAUUCUGACAUAUCUUUCGUGAUACUAAAGACGCACAAAGAUUUUUAAACUAUCAAAAUUUUAUUUUUUUAAGAAUAAGCAAUCAAAAUUAUUGUGUUAAUUAAUUAAAGUAAAAUAAAUGGACUUGACAUAAAAAAUUAACUUACUCAAAGAUUUCAUCCUAAUUAAAGUUGGAUAUAAAUCACUAAAAAAAGAGAUGAUUGAAAUUACCUUAUCAUCUAUAAACUUGGACCAGAAACGUGCCAAGGCUCUUUUAUAAGGAUCAGAAG
rnacentral:lncRNA from 1 species